UGGGGAAUUUUGGACAGUGGGCGAAAGCCUGAUCCAGCAAUGCCGCGUGUGUGAAGAAGGCCUUCGGGUUGUAAAGCACUUUUGUCCGGAAAGAAAUCCUUGGCUCUAAUACAGUCGGGGGAUGACGGUACCGGAAGAAUAAGCACCGGCUAACUACGUGCCAGCAGCCGCGGUAAUACGUAGGGUGCAAGCGUUAAUCGGAAUUACUGGGCGUAAAGCGUGCGCAGGCGGUUUGCUAAGACCGAUGUGAAAUCCCCGGGCUCAACCUGGGAACUGCAUUGGUGACUGGCAGGCUAGAGUAUGGCAGAGGGGGGUAGAAUUCCACGUGUAGCAGUGAAAUGCGUAGAGAUGUGGAGGAAUACCGAUGGCGAAGGCAGCCCCCUGGGCCAAUACUGACGCUCAUGCACGAAAGCGUGGGGAGCAAACAGGAUUAGAUACCCUGGUAGUCCACGCCCUAAACGAUGUCAACUAGUUGUUGGGGAUUCAUUUCCUUAGUAACGUAGCUAACGCGUGAAGUUGACCGCCUGGGGAGUACGGUCGCAAGAUUAAAACUCAAAUGAAUUGACGGGGU
rnacentral:rRNA from 1 species